UACCUGGUUGAUCCUGCCAGUAGUCAUAUGCUUGUCUCAAAGAUUAAGCCAUGCAAGUCUAAGUACGAGCUCUCGUACAGUGAAACUGCGAAUGGCUCAUUAAAUCAGUUAUGGUUCAUUUGAUCGUACAGUUUACUUGGAUAACUGUGGUAAUUCUAGAGCUAAUACAUGCGAGAAGCGCCGACCUCGCGGGAGGCGUGCAUUUAUCAAACCAAAAACCGGCCGCGUCUUCGGGCGCGUUCGCCUUGGUGACUCUG
rnacentral:ncRNA from 1 species